rnacentral:lncRNA from 1 species
GCAGAACGUCUUCGAUAUGCCGCGAAGUGUGGCUCAGAACACGAGCGUCUGUUGGCUCGAAAACGCGAAGCGGUGUGGCGUCGAAUGGAGUGUGCGUCAAAACGCGAGC